AAAUGUUAAAGUUCUUAUUUCAUGGUAUAACUUUGGUAUGCUUGGACCUAGAGUCUUCAAACUUGACAUGAAGGUUGGCCAGGAUUAACAGAUGACCACUGGUCAUUUCAAGGUCAUUCAUUUGAAGGUCAAGGUCACUGUGACCUUGAAUGUAAAAAUGUUAAAGUUCUUAUUUCAUGGUAUAACUUUGGUAUGCUUGGACCUAGAGUCUUCAAACUUGACAUGAAGGUUGGCCAGGAUUAACAGAUGACCACUGGUCAUUUCAAGGUCAUUCAUUUGAAGGUGAAGGUCACUGUGACCUUCAAUAUAAAAAUGUUAAAGUUGUUAUAACUUUGGUAUGCUUGGACCUAGAGUCUUGAAACUUGACAUGAAGGUUGGCCAGAACUAGUAAGUAACCACUGGACAUUUCAAGGUCAUUCAUUUGAAGGUCAAGGUCACUGUGACCUUGAAUGUAAAAAUGUUAAAGUUGUUAUAACUUUGGUAUGCUUGGACCUAGAGUCUUGAAACUUGACAUGAAGGUUGGCCAGAACUAGUAAGUAACCACUGGACAUUUCAAGGUCAUUCAUUUGAAGGUCAAGGUCACUGUGACCUUGAAUGUAAAAAUGUUAAAGUUCUUAUUUCAUGUUAUAACUUUGGUAUGCUUGUACCUAGAGUCUUCAAACUUGAAAUAAAGAUUGGCCAGUACUAGAAGAUGACCACUGGUCAUUUCAAUGUCAUUCAUUUGAAGGUCAAGGUCACUGUGACCUUAAAUGUUAAAAUGUUAAAAUUGUUAUAACUUUGGUA